UGGCUAACUCCUACGGGAGGCAGCAGUGGGGAAUCUUGCACAAUGGGCGAAAGCCUGAUGCAGCGACGCCGCGUGCGGGACGAAGGCCUUCGGGUCGUAAACCGCUUUCAGCAGGGACGAGGCCGCGAGGUGACGGUACCUGCAGAAGAAGCCCCGGCUAACUACGUGCCAGCAGCCGCGGUAAUACGUAGGGGGCGAGCGUUAUCCGGAUUCAUUGGGCGUAAAGCGCGCGCAGGCGGCCUGCUCGGUCGGGAGUCAAAUCCGGGGGCUCAACCCCCGCCCGCUCCCGAUACCGGCGGGCUUGAGUCUGGUAGGGGAAGGCGGAAUUCCCAGUGUAGCGGUGGAAUGCGCAGAUAUUGGGAAGAACACCGGUGGCGAAGGCGGCCUUCUGGGCCACGACUGACGCUGAGGCGCGAAAGCUAGGGGAGCGAACAGGAUUAGAUACCCUGGUAGUCCAGCUGG
rnacentral:rRNA from 1 species